UAUUUUAAAAAACUACAUAAUCUCAAAAAUGUGGAACGCUUCACGAUUCUGCAUGGCCCCUGCGCAAGGAUGACACGCAAAAUUGUGAAGCGUGAAAAAUAUUA